rnacentral:tRNA from 1 species
GGUCCGAUGCCCGAGUGGUUAGGGAGAGGUCUGCAAAACCUCGUACGCCGGUUCAAUUCCGGCUCGGACCUCAA